GCAAAUGUUCAUUGAAAUGAGUCAGUGGU
rnacentral:piRNA from 1 species